rnacentral:rRNA from 1 species
AUUGAACGCUGGCGGCAGGCUUAACACAUGCAAGUCGAGCGAGCGGCGGACGGGUGAGUAAUGUCUGGGAAACUGCCUGAUGGAGGGGGAUCACUACCGGAAACGGUAGCUAAUACCGCAUACCAUCAGAUGUGCCCAGAUGGGAAUAGCUAGUAGGUGGGGUAUAGGCUCCCCUAGGCGACGAGCCCUAGCUGGUCUGAGAGGAUGACCAGCCACACUGGAACUGAGACACGGUCCAGACUCCUACGUGAGGAAGCAGUGGGGAAUAGUGCACAAUGGGCGCAAGCCUGAUGCAGCCAUGCCGCGUGUGUGAAGAAGGCCUUCGGGUUGUAAAGCACUUUCAGCUAGGAGGCGUUACUAGCAGAAGAAGCACCGGCUAACUCCGUGCCAGCAGCCGCGGUAAUUC